rnacentral:rRNA from 1 species
UACGGAGGAUGCAAGCGUUAUCCGGAUUUAUUGGGUUUAAAGGGUGCGCAGGCGGACGAUUAAGUCAGUGGUGAAAUGUAACAGCUUAACUGUUGAACUGCCAUUGAUACUGAUUAUCUAGAGUACAGACGACGUUGGCGGAAUGCGACAUGUAGCGGUGAAAUGCUUAGAGAUGUCGCAGAACACCGAUUGCGAAGGCAGCUAACGAGGAUGUAACUGACGCUCAUGCACGAAAGCGUGGGGAUCAAACAGGAUUAGAUACCCUGGUAGUCCACGCCCUAAACGAUGAUCACUCGUUGUUAGAUAGUAAUAUUUAGUGGCUAAGGGAAACCGAUAAGUGAUCCACCUGGGGAGUACGAUCGCAAGGUUGAA